rnacentral:rRNA from 1 species
GACGUAGGGCGCGAGCGUUGUCCGGAUUUAUUGGGCGUAAAGAGCUCGUAGGCGGCUUGUCGCGUCGACUGUGAAAACUCGGGGCUCAACUCCGAGCUUGCAGUCGAUACGGGCAGGCUAGAGUUCGGUAGGGGAGACUGGAAUUCCUGGUGUAGCGGUGAAAUGCGCAGAUAUCAGGAGGAACACCGGUGGCGAAGGCGGGUCUCUGGGCCGUAACUGACGCUGAGGAGCGAAAGCGUGGGGAGCGAACAGG